UUCUCAGCCGACAACAAUGCCCUGGGUUUUUCUCCUAACCCUGUUUACAAACUUGUGGUCUGGUUCCAGAGCCCAGACCAGUGUAACUCAGCCUCCAUCACAGUCAGCAUCUCUUGGUGAAAAUGUUAAACUUCCCUGCACUUUAGGCUCUGGUAUUGAUUACUACUAUGUUUACUGGUACCAGCAGAAAUCUGGAAACAGUCCAAAGUACCUGUUACGGUACCACUCUGAUUCAAAGAAACACCAUGGCUCUGGGGUUCCUACUCGGUUCUAUGGCUCCAAGGAUGAAUCUAAGAGUGUUACUUACUUAUCCGUCUCUGGUGUCCAAACAGAAGAUGAUGCUGAUUACUAUUGCUGUAUCUGGGAUGAUAAGAACAAUGUAAAUGCAUAA